AAAGGCCUGCAGCUUGCUGCGGGUACUCGAGUGGCGAACGGGUGAGUAACACGUGGGUGAUCUGCCUUGCACUUCGGGAUAAGCUUGGGAAACUGGGUCUAAUACCGGAUAGGACAGCUGUUUAGUGUCAGUUGUGGAAAGUUUUUUCGGUGCAAGAUGAGCUCGCGGCCUAUCAGCUUGUUGGUGGGGUAAUGGCCUACCAAGGCGUCGACGGGUAGCCGGCCUGAGAGGGUGUACGGCCACAUUGGGACUGAGAUACGGCCCAGACUCCUACGGGAGGCAGCAGUGGGGAAUAUUGCACAAUGGGCGGAAGCCUGAUGCAGCGACGCCGCGUGGGGGAUGAAGGCCUUCGGGUUGUAAACUCCUUUCGACAGGGACGAAGCGUAAGUGACGGUACCUGUAUAAGAAGCACCGGCUAACUACGUGCCAGCAGCCGCGGUAAUACGUAGGGUGCGAGCGUUGUCCGGAAUUACUGGGCGUAAAGAGCUCGUAGGUGGUUUGUCGCGUCGUCUGUGAAAUUCCGGGGCUUAACUCCGGGCGUGCAGGCGAUACGGGCUGACUUGAGUGCUGUAGGGGAGACUGGAAUUCCUGGUGUAGCGGUGAAAUGCGCAGAUAUCAGGAGGAACACCGAUGGCGAAGGCAGGUCUCUGGGCAGUAACUGACGCUGAGGAGCGAAAGCAUGGGUAGCGAACAGGAUUAGAUACCCUGGUAGUCCAUGCCGUAAACGGUGGGCGCUAGGUGUAGGGGGCUUCCACGUCUUCUGUGCCGUAGCUAACGCAUUAAGCGCCCCGCCUGGGGAGUACGCCGC
rnacentral:rRNA from 1 species